rnacentral:rRNA from 1 species
AAUGAACGUUGGUGGCGUGGAUUAGGCAUGCAAGUCGUGCGAGAAGGUGGCUUCGGCCACCGGACAGCGGCGAACGGGGUAGUAAGGCGUCGGAACGUGCCCACGGGUCCGGGAUAGCGGCGGGAAACUGCCGGUAAUACCGGAUGACCUCUCUGGAGCAAAGGUGUGAUUCCGCCUGUGGAGCGGCCGACGUGAUACCAACUAGUUGGUGAGGUAACGGCUCACCAAGGCUCAGACGUCUAGGGGGUGUGAGAGCAUGGCCCCCACCACUGGGACGGAGACACUGCCCAGACACCUACGGGUGGCUGCAGUCGAGAAUCUUCGGCAAUGGGCGCAAGCCUGACCGGGCGACGCCACGUGCGGGAUGACGGCCCUCGGGUUGUAAACCGCUGUCGAGGGGGAUGAAGUCACGAAGGGCAAUCCCUUCGUGUUGACAGAGCCCUGGAGGAAGCGCGGGCUAAGUACGUGCCAGCAGCCGCCGUAACAC